rnacentral:rRNA from 1 species
GAAAGGUGAAAAGUACCCCGGAAGGGGAGUGAAAGAGAACUUGAAACCGUGUGCUUACAAGUAGUCAGAGCCCGUUAAUGGGUGAUGGCGUGCCUUUUGUAGAAUGAACCGGCGAGUUACGAUCUGAUGCAAGGUUAAGCAGCAAAUGUGGAGCCGCAGCGAAAGCGAGUCUGAAUAGGGCGUUGAGUAUUUGGUCGUAGACCCGAAACCAGGUGAUCUACCCUUGGUCAGGUUGAAGUUCAGGUAACACUGAAUGGAGGACCGAACCGACUUACGUUGAAAAGUGAGCGGAUGAACUGAGGGUAGCGGAGAAAUUCCAAUCGAACUUGGAGAUAGCUGGUUCUCUCCGAAAUAGCUUUAGGGCUAGCCUCAAGUGAUGAUUAUUGGAGGUAGAGCACUGUUUGGACGAGGGGCCCCUCUCGGGUUACCGAAUUCAGACAAACUCCGAAUGCCAAUUAAUUUAACUUGGGAGUCAGAACAUGGGUGAUAAGGUCCGUGUUCGAAAGGGAAACAGCCCAGACCACCAGCUAAGGUCCCAAAAUAUAUGUUAAGUGGAAAAGGAUGUGGCGUUGCCCAGACAACUAGGAUGUUGGCUUAGAAGCAGCCAUCAUUUAAAGAGUGCGUAAUAGCUCACUAGUCGAGUGACACUGCGCCGAAAAUGUACCGGGGCUAAACAUAUUACCGAAGCUGUGGAUUGUCCUUUGGACAAUGGUAGGAGAGCGUUCUAAGGGCGUCGAAGCAUGAUCGCAAGGACAUGUGGAGCGCUUAGAAGUGAGAAUGCCGGUGUGAGUAGCGAAAGACGGGUGAGAAUCCCGUCCACCGAUUGACUAAGGUUUCCAGAGGAAGGCUCGUCCGCUCUGGGUUAGUCGGGUCCUAAGCUGAGGCCGACAGGCGUAGGCGAUGGAUAACAGGUUGAUAUUCCUGUACCACCUAGUAUCGUUUUAAUCGAUGGGGGGACGCAGUAGGAUAGGCGAAGCGUGCUGUUGGAGUGCACGUCCAAGCAGUAAGGCUGAGUGUUAGGCAAAUCCGGCACUCAUAAGGCUGAGCUGUGAUGGGGAGAGGAAAUUGUUUCCUCGAGUCGUUGAUUUCACACUGCCGAGAAAAGCCUCUAGAUAGAUAACAGGUGCCCGUACCGCAAACCGACACAGGUAGUCAAGAUGAGAAUUCUAAGGUGAGCGAGCGAACUCUCGUUAAGGAACUCGGCAAAAUGACCCCGUAACUUCGGGAGAAGGGGUGCUCUUUAGGGUUCACGCCCAGAAGAGCCGCAGUGAAUAGGCCCAAGCGACUGUUUAUCAAAAACACAGGUCUCUGCUAAACCGUAAGGUGAUGUAUAGGGGCUGACGCCUGCCCGGUGCUGGAAGGUUAAGAGGAGUGGUUAGCUUCUGCGAAGCUACGAAUCGAAGCCCCAGUAAACGGCGGCCGUAACUAUAACGGUCCUAAGGUAGCGAAAUUCCUUGUCGGGUAAGUUCCGACCCGCACGAAAGGCGUAACGAUUUGGGCACUGUCUCAACGAGAGACUCGGUGAAAUCAUAGUACCUGUGAAGAUGCAGGUUACCCGCGACAGGACGGAAAGACCCCGUGGAGCUUUACUGUAGCCUGAUAUUGAAAUUCGGCACAGCUUGUACAGGAUAGGUAGGAGCCUUUGAAACGUGAGCGCUAGCUUACGUGGAGGCGUUGGUGGGAUACUACCCUAGCUGUGUUGGCUUUCUAACCCGCACCACUUAUCGUGGUGGGAGACAGUGUCAGGCGGGCAGUUUGACUGGGGCGGUCGCCUCCUAAAAGGUAACGGAGGCGCUCAAAGGUUCCCUCAGAAUGGUUGGAAAUCAUUCAUAGAG